AAACUUCCUGUCCCAACUCUCUCUUUCUCUUGGCCAGCUUAAAAGCCACAGUUUGAAAAAUGGAUGCCUUAGUUUUUCAUACGUUGAAGAGAAGCUUCGUGUUCAGAAGACUCACUAAUCCAAACAGGAACGUGUGCCAUCCUUGCGCCAUGGAGUUGUCCCCAGCAAGACAUCUGCCCUUUACAAACUUUGGAAAACAUAGAUGUGAAAAUAAAUUCAAACACAUCUGCAAUUGUAGAGAAGGAGUGAUUGAAGUGCAGGGAGCACCUCUUGCUAGCUUUAACUUGGCUAAUACAGUUCAGGACUGUGCCUUUCCUUAGCCAUGACCUGGCAGAUGCACCUUCUGUUGCAGAGGGAGGAUGUGAGCGAGGACACCUGCCCAGGGCAUGGUGCGCAUGGAUCUGAAGCCUCGCUUCUUCCCAAUGAGGAAAUCAAAGAGGACCUCCCCUUCUUCCCAGUGCUGUGGCAGGGAUCUUUUCAGCUCUUUCCUCCCUUUUCUCCCACAAGCGGGAGUCCAGCCAUGCAUCAGGA